CCUACGUGCUGCAGCAGUGGGGAAUAUUGGACAAUGGGCGAAAGCCUGAUCCAGCAAUGCCGCGUGUGUGAAGAAGGCCUUCGGGUUGUAAAGCACUUUCAGUGGGGAAGAAAGCCUUGGGGCUAAUACCCUCGAGGUAUGACAUUACCUACAGAAUAAGCACCGGCUAACUCCGUGCCAGCAGCCGCGGUAAUACGGAGGGGUGCGAGCGUUAAUCGGAAUUACUGGGCGUAAAGCGCGCGUAGGCGGUCUGAUAAGCCGGUUGUGAAAGCCCCGGGCUCAACCUGGGAACGGCAUCCGGAACUGUCAGGCUAGAGUGCAGGAGAGGAUAGUAGAAUUCCCGGUGUAGCGGUGAAAUGCGUAGAGAUCGGGAGGAAUACCAGUGGCGAAGGCGGCCAUCUGGACUGACACUGACGCUGAGGUGCGAAAGCGUGGGUAGCAAACAGGAUUAGAUACCCUGGUAGUC
rnacentral:rRNA from 1 species